GGCCCGGAGUAAUUGAUAACAGUUGGAGAGGAAAUAAUGGGUGCAGGGAGGCUUACCAAUUUCUAGAAGCUCUGAGUUAAUAAAGGAAGAUUGGCAACUGUCAUUUACCGUUUGCUGUGUUGAUUAAAGGUGCUAAGGGGUCCUCAAAGACAGGAGCAGCGUGCAGAUAAUCAGAAUUCAAAUUAUGCUUAUGCAUUGGAGAACAAGAUUCUGUUAUCUGUAUUUCAAAUUCUGACGAUGCUUCGAUUUGAGAUUUGUGGAGCUCGAUGUUCUUUGGGGUUCCCAACUCGUCCCCAUCUGUUUGGAUGGCAAGAGUUGCCGAAGAAUCGUUAAGGGAGAGGCGGCUAUGGUGUUGGUUCAAUAAUUGAUGUUGCUUAUCAUGCGUUGCAGAUGAAUUUUCAUGAUCGAUGUAGUUGUCUUCAGAAAGGUAUAAGCCACUUGUACUCACAUUCUCAUUGCGCUUGCCAGAUGCACCAAUAGGGUUGUUUUCGGAGUCCACGUCAGCAUCCGAACUUUCUGACAGGGACAAUCGUCGUUCGUUGUUGGAGAUUGGAGGUGAGAACAACUCAUGGCAUGGUUCUUCGGUGGCUCUGAUAUUGAAUUUGACAUGAUCAAUAUCCACCUGAAUGAUUUUGUUAAUAAACUCAGUAGAAUCUGUCAAAAUCAGCACUCUUGCGUAAUCAAAUCUUGAUUUUGCUAGGGUUACGCCAUCAAGAGAGAUGAAUUCUCCACAAAGACUUCCAACCCAUUGAAAGAAAUGUGAGGUCCGCGCAU
rnacentral:misc_RNA from 1 species